UAAUAACUCGUCAAAAGACGAAUGUACUAUGGGGUAUUUUCUGGAAAACCAGGACCACUACAUCCCUGAUGUCCGUUGAUCGGAUGUGCGUACGAUGCGCGAGGAGGAGCUGGAGGUGGCCCUGAAGGUGGUGAUCGUCGGUGACGGCGGAGUCGGCAAGUCCAGUAUGAUACAGCGCUACUGCCGCGGCACCUUCACCAGGGACUACAAGAAGACCAUCGGGGUCGACUUUCUUGAGAGACAGAUCGAGAUAGACGGCGAGGAAGUCCGACUGAUGCUGUGGGACACGGCGGGCCAGGAGGAGUUCGACGCGAUCACCAAGGCGUACUACCGCGGCGCCCACGCCUGCGUGCUCGCCUUCUCCACAACCGACAGAGACUCUUUCUUAGCGCUGCACUCCUGGAAGUUGAAAGUGGAGAAUGAAUGCGGCGAAAUACCAACGAUAAUCGUUCAAAAUAAAAUCGAUUUAAUGGAUCAAUGUGUGGUUGGACCGUUAUUUUUUCCAUCCGAUUUUGGGUAUAUAUCAACACAGUGGAUUUUGUUGACAAAGAGUGAAUUUUGACAAGGAACCUUAAUUUCUAAUGAACCCAUCAAAAUAAUACAUGUGUGAAGGACUAGAAUGCAACGCAAUACGUCGGAAAGACAUCAAACGUGAAACAUUUCUAAUUAAAAAGUGCAAGCAACUGCCGAAAUACUCCAUUAAAAUUGUGAUGAAAGAGGAGUAAAAUGAAAUAUAAAACAUGCUCGUUGAGGAAAUAAGAAAGGCUCGAAAGGUUUUUGUUGGAUGCCUAAUGUGUGCUAUUGGAUGCGACGGAAAAUGUUUUCAUAAAAAUCUCGUCGAGUUCUCGCCGGCGUACAACUGAUCUUUUAAUCUCUUAAUUACAUGAGAGCAGUAUACGUGGGGAUUUCGCCGAAAUAACCGUGCAAAAUGGAUGGCUGCCCAUACCCCGUCCGCAGCUCGUGAAUAUGAAUUAUUUUUCUUUGGUACGGUUGUGAUGUGUAUUUACAUAUUGCAUGUCGACGCUCGCUCCAUUGUACAUAUUAUUACUGGAUGAUGUGGUUUUUUUUAUUACUUAGAUGGGUGGACGUGCUCAGACAGAUACAACGUAAAUGCUGCCGCUCUUCUUGAGACAAGAGUUCUAAGGUCUCAGUUGUAAUAGCACAACGGUGCCCCAGCCCUUCAAACCGAAACGCAUUCCUGCUUUACGGCAGAAAUAACUAGGGCGGUGGUACCUACCCACUCGUGCGGACACAAAAGACGUCCUACAACUAGUAAUUACGUGCAAAUUAUAAUUUUCCGGGUUUGACUUUUAUUACACAAUGCGUCCUUUAGUGUUGUGUAUUUUUCGAUCAUUUUCAAAUUGGUCAGCGAUAACUCUUUAUCGGAUAUUUUGUAAUGCAUUGUAUUGACUGUAAAAAAAUCAUAUACACAUUGGACCAACAUAUCUUAUAAUUAUUAUUUAAGUUUGUGUGUUAUCGAUUUUGAAAAAAAACAGGAUACAUCGAGAUAUUUCUUCAAUCAUCCAAUGCGUAUAAGCCUUUGGCGAAAUGGCCGGUCUACUUCAGACACAUCUGUAUCGGUUACGUCCUAAUACGUAUAUCGUUUUAUGUGAAAUCCAUCAUUGAAGAGUUUCGCACUUUCGCUUCGUUUUAUCGCCACUCAGGGCGCGUCCUGCUACGCUGCUUUACGACCGAGAAAGCGUUGAGGCGGUACGCAGUAAAAUUUCAAUAUCCACGCAAAAAUAUGGCAUUUCAUUUGGAACCGGUUGCUGAAAGGUCAAAACGAGAUAUAAAGCCGUAAUCAACCUCUUCUAAUCAUUCGUUUAGGUUUAAUACUUUAAUAAAAAAGUUUUUAAAGGAAUAAAAAAAAACACUGAGCUAUUGCGUAAUCAUUAUCCAUAUGCUAUAAUGAGGAAACCAAUUAGAUGAAAUCAGUGUGGUCACGUUUUGACGUAUUUUAAUCAUUUAACUUCAAGCAUACUAGAGAUUUACAAACAGAAAUAUUUCUCUUUUAUCAUGAGUGAACACACAUUAGGAACUUUGGGUACCAUUACUUUAGGAACAAAUGCAUCAAGUCGGGUCAGUCGUGUGUUGCUCGAAUCGGAUGAUGGCACCACGAACAUCAGAGGAAUGUUUCUGUGGAGAGGUCGCUUAGCUAAGAUUACGGAAACUGUCGUUUUGGCGCCU